rnacentral:lncRNA from 7 species
AGUCCCCCGCUGGGCCAAGCUGUGGUUGAAGUGGCUAUCACCAAAUAGCAGUUGGCAGCAGCGGGCUGUAAGGAAGCGGCAGGAACGCACCGUGCCGUCCCCGAGUCGCGGCACGCCCUGCCCGUAGGAGGGAAAGGCCGCCCGCCGCUGCGUUCCCUCCGUCCGCAGCGGUACCGGCAAUUGUCGGUGCUUCAGCCUCGGGCUGCUCCCGGAGCCCGGCCCCGUGUCACCUCGGAUGCUCCCGUCUGGCAGACCGGCACAUCUCGCCGCCACCGAUCUCCCGGCUCUGGAAGGCAGUUUUGCUUUAGCGCUGAAGGAAUCGUAUCUUAGGCUUCAGCAAAAGCAGGAGAGACGUGAUUCUUUCUCAUGAAACAAGUCGAAAUAAUACGUGCGCCCAGUAAAAAAAGGUUUACGAGUAUCUCCUCCCCAGUUUUUUUUUGGCCGCUAUUAAUUAACCCAAAGAAUCAUUUCAUCUUGGUUAUUUCAUUUCUUGACAAAAUUGCAGUUGUGUAUGUUCAAAUGUAGCCUUGUUUCUAUCAGUAUGUUUACAACUGUGCAAUUACAACAGAAGAUGUUUCGCCUGUCUCUGUAAU